GCAGACACAUUCCAGCCAAUCAGCAGCAGACCCUCCCUCCUAGACCCUCCCACCUCCUGGACAGCAUCCAUUUUACAUUCAUUGUGAAGCUGCAUUCUUAGUGAGCUGUCCAGGAGGUGGGAGGGUCUGGGAGGGAGGGUCUGCUGCUGAUUGGCUGGAAUGUUUCUG